rnacentral:rRNA from 1 species
AUUGAACGCUGGCGGCAGGCCUAACACAUGCAAGUCGAACGAGUGGCGGACGGGUGAGUAAUGUCUGGGAAACUGCCUGAUGGAGGGGGAUAACUACUGGAAACGGUAGCUAAUACCGCAUACCAUCGGAUGUGCCCAGAUGGGAUUAGCUAGUAGGUGGGGUAACGGCUCACCUAGGCGACGAUCCCUAGCUGGUCUGAGAGGAUGACCCGCCAAACUGGAAAUGAGACACGGGCCAAACGCCUACGGGAGGCAAGAGUGGGGAAUAGUGCACAAUGGGCGCAAGCCUGAUGCAGCCAUGCCGCGUGUAUGAAGAAGGCCUUCGGGUUGUAAAGUACUUUCAGCGGGGAGGCGUUACCCACAGAAGAAGCACCGGCUAACUCCGUGCCAGCCGCCGCGGUAAUUC